rnacentral:rRNA from 1 species
ACUAUUGUCACGGGUUACCGCGGCUGCUGGCACGGAGUUAGCCGGUGCUUCUUCUGUGAGUGUAUGUCCUUCCUGCCGGCUAUUAACCCGCAGGCCUUCUUCCUCACUGAAAGUGCUUUACAACCCGAAGGCCUUCUUCACACACGCGGCAUGGCUGGAUCAGGGUUGCCCCCAUUGUCCAAUAUUCCCCGACUGCUGCCUCCCGUAGGAGUCUGGGCCGUGUCUCAGUCCCAGUGUGGCUGAUCAUCCUCUCAG